rnacentral:rRNA from 1 species
GAUGAACGCUGGCGGCGUGCCUAAUACAUGCAAGUCGAGCGAACAGAUGAGGGCUUGCCUCUCUGACGUUAGCGGCGGACGGGUGAGUAACACGUGGAUAACCUACCUAUAAGACUUGGAUAACUUCGGGAAACCGGAGCUAAUACCGGAUAAUAUAUUUAACCGCAUGGUUCAAUAGUGAAAGACGGUUUUGCUGUCACUUAUAGAUGGAUCCGCGCCGCAUUAGCUAGUUGGUAAGGUAACGGCUUACCAAGGCAACGAUGCGUAGCCGACCUGAGAGGGUGAUCGGCCACACUGGAACUGAGACACGGUCCAGACUCCUACGGGAGGCAGCAGUAGGGAAUCUUCCGCAAUGGGCGAAAGCCUGACGGAGCAACGCCGCGUGAGUGAUGAAGGUCUUCGGAUCGUAAAACUCUGUUAUUAGGGAAGAACAAAUGUGUAAGUAACUAUGCACGUCUUGACGGUACCUAAUCAGAAAGCCACGGCUAACUACGUG